rnacentral:rRNA from 1 species
GAGCGAACGCGGACCAGGCCAGUGCCGGUCAUUGUCUAACUGGAACCUUCUGGAAAGUUGGGCCGUAGCGGGUGAUAGCCCCGUACAGGUGUUGACAAUGAUCGGACUCGAGUAGGGCGGGACACGUGAAAUCCUGUCUGAACGUGGGGGGACCACCCUCCAAGCCUAAGUACUCCUCAGCGACCGAUAGUGAACCAGUACCGUGAGGGAAAGGCGAAAAGAACCCCGGAGAGGGGAGUGAAAUAGAACCUGAAACCGGAUGCGUACAAGCAGUCGGAGCCCGUUCGUCGGGUGACGGCGUACCUUUUGUAUAAUGGGUCAGCGACUUAG